AACGAACGCUGGCGGCAGGCCUAACACAUGCAAGUCGAGCGAGGACUUCGGUCCUAGCGGCGGACGGGUGAGUAACGCGUGGGAACGUGCCCUUUGCUACGAAAUAGCCCCGGGAAACUGGGAGUAAUACCGUAUGUGCCCUUCGGGGGAAAGAUUUAUCGGCAAAGGAUCGGCCCGCGUUGGAUUAGGUAGUUGGUGGGGUAAUGGCCUACCAAGCCGACGAUCCAUAGCUGGUUUGAGAGGAUGAUCAGCCACACUGGGACUGAGACACGGCCCAGACUCCUACGGGAGGCAGCAGUGGGGAAUCUUAGACAAUGGGGGAAACCCUGAUCUAGCCAUGCCGCGUGAGCGAUGAAGGCCUUAGGGUUGUAAAGCUCUUUCAGUGGGGAAGAUAAUGACGGUACCCACAGAAGAAGCCCCGGCUAACUCCGUGCCAGCCGCCGCCGUAAAAC
rnacentral:rRNA from 1 species